UGGGGAAUAUUGCACAAUGGGCGCAAGCCUGAUGCAGCCAUGCCGCGUGUAUGAAGAAGGCCUUCGGGUUGUAAAGUACUUUCAGGCGGGAGGAAGGUGGUAAGGUUAAUAACCUUAUCAAUUGACGUUACCGACAGAAGAAGCACCGGCUAACUCCGUGCCAGCAGCCGCGGUAAUACGGAGGGUGCAAGCGUUAAUCGGAAUUACUGGGCGUAAAGCGCACGCAGGCGGUUGAUUGAGUCAGAUGUGAAAUCCCCGGGCUUAACCCGGGAAUUGCAUCUGAUACUGGUCAGCUAGAGUAUUGUAGAGGGGGGUAGAAUUCCAUGUGUAGCGGUGAAAUGCGUAGAGAUGUGGAGGAAUACCGGUGGCGAAGGCGGCCCCCUGGACAAAGACUGACGCUCAGGUGCGAAAGCGUGGGGAGCAAACAGG
rnacentral:rRNA from 1 species